CCUACGGGCGGCAGCAGUGGGGAAUAUUGGACAAUGGGGGCAACCCUGAUCCAGCCAUGCCGCGUGUGUGAAGAAGGCCCUCGGGUUGUAAAGCACUUUCAGUGAGGAAGAACGCCUGGUGGUUAAUACCCAUCAGGAAAGACAUCACUCACAGAAGAAGCACCGGCUAACUCCGUGCCAGCAGCCGCGGUAAUACGGAGGGUGCGAGCGUUAAUCGGAAUUACUGGGCGUAAAGCGCGCGUAGGUGGCUUGAUAAGCCGGUUGUGAAAGCCCCGGGCUCAACCUGGGAACGGCAUCCGGAACUGUCAAGCUAGAGUGCAGGAGAGGAAGGUAGAAUUCCCGGUUUAGCGGUGAAAUGCGUAGAGAUCGGGAGGAAUACCAGUGGCGAAGGCGGCCUUCUGGACUGACACUGACACUGAGGUGCGAAAGCGUGGGUAGCAAACAGGAUUAGAUACCCUGGUAGUC
rnacentral:rRNA from 1 species